GUCUAAGACAUUUCAGAUACCAAAGCUAUAUUCAGUUUAUAUUUCCAAAAAUAAAAGCUUUAUAAUUUGGAGUGGUUUAGGCUAUAACGUUGUUGAUCAUCAUCAUCAUCAAUUAGAACAUCUUAUCACCUUUUCCACCCUUCUGAUGUUUCAUUCGUUAUUAGAAUGGCCCCCCUCUUUGCUUCAGAAAAAUUAUAUUUUCUACCACAUUCACUUCCAAAUCUUGUAUCGCCUACGCUUAUAGAAGUAAACUUCGUGUUUCAAUUUUAUUGCUUAUGAAAUUAUUCUUUUACGAUCGAAUUUAAUUUACCUGACAGCUGUUGCUUGUCGCUGCAUUUUAAAACGCAGUUAGCAAGGCCGCCUUCAAUUACUAUGCAGAAGUUGAACUACUUGGGGAUGUAUUCGAUAAUCUUCUUUAUCAUCUUUGCCACCCUUCUGGCACUCGUUUCUUCUUAUCCCGAUGAUGUGCUCCCCUAUCAAUAUGGAACACCAGAAAAUGUGCGAGACAAAUAUUCCGGAAGUUCGAGUAACAUUCUGUACGCUUUGUGGCAAGAGGUUUUUAACACGAACGAAAUGAAUAGUUUGAGAUCGAUUUCCAAUCCGAAAGAUUUCUUGAUCAGAAUGCUGAGUUUGUUCGUUUCUCGUCUGUUUUUAAAUCUUCAAUCGAUCACUCUUAAUUUUUUGUUUAUGCUGUGAAGAGGAAGAAGAAAACUUCCAGAAAAUUCAGCGUUUUGUUUCGAAUUCGGUUUUGUAAAAUCGCCGAGCAGCGAUUAUGCUAUAGCCACGACGAUACUUGCCAAUGGCGAUUGUACAUCGUGAUUUGCGUUGUUUUUUAUCGAAGUAGGUGAAUAUAUUUUAAAAUAUAUAAUUUUGGUUUGAGAAUUUGUUCGAGUAUCUCCCCCGUUUGUUAGAUCGAAUGGAUUCGAAGAGGAGAUGAUAUUUUUUUUUUAAUCUUUAAAGAACUUUAUUAAUCGGGGAUGGUAAAGGGUUUAUAUACAGUAUAUAUAUUAAUUAAAUAUAUUUGUAUGCAAAUAUUUAUUUCGUACGGUUAAUUAUACUUAGCUAUAAUUUACUUGUACUAAUUUAAAUAGAUAAUAGUAAUGGGUUUAAACGGAUUCCGUGAUAAAAUGCACUGACAAUUACAGUUAAUGUAAUUAUUUUGUGCUCAAGCUUCAUUACCCAGAAGUUUGGAUUGGUGGGUGAAUCACCCACCAAUCCAAAAUUGGGUUGUAUACGAUAAUUAUAUGUAAAAGUCACUGAGUUAAAUACGGGAGAAUCGCAAAUUUGUAAACGGGUUUUGGAAUUUAUGUUGGUUAACGGCAAUAAAAUUUUUGGUGAAUGUACUGAAAUUACUAUAUUACUGUUAUACUUAUGUAUAGAGUAGAGCCUAUAAAAAUAUAUCAAUUUGAAAUAAUUAUAUAUAAAGUAUUUCUUUAAAUGAUUUUGUCAGACUUA